CGGCGUUGUUAAGUCAGAUGUGAAAGCCCGGGGCGUUAACCUCGGAACUUGCAUUUGUAAACUAGGCAGGACUAGAGUCUUGUAGAGGGGGGUAGGAAUUUCAGGUGUAGCGGUGAAAUGCGUAGAGAUCUGAAGGAAUACCAGUGGCGAAGGCGGCCCCCUGGACAAAGACUGACGCUCAGAUGCGAAAGCGUGGGGAGCAAACAGGAUUAGAUACCCUGGUAG
rnacentral:rRNA from 1 species